rnacentral:rRNA from 1 species
AGUUUGAUCAUGGCUCAGAUUGAACGCUGGCGGGAUGCUUUACACGUAAGUCGAACGGCAGCACUGGACUUCGGUCUGGUGGCGAGUGGCGAACGGGUGAGUAAUGUAUCGGAACGUGCCUAGUAGCGGGGGAUAACUACGCGAAAGCGUAGCUAAUACCGCAUACGCCCUUCGGGGAAAAGCAGGGGACCUUCGGGCCUCGCACUAUUAGAGCGGCCGAUAUCGGAUUGGCCUGGUUGGUGGGGUAUGGCUCACCGAAGGCGACGAUCCGUAGCUGGUUUGAGAGGACGACCAGCCACACUGGGACUGAGACACGGCCCAGACUCCUACGGGAGGCAGCAGUGGGGAAUUUUGGACAAUGGAAACCACAGUCCAGCCAUCCCGCGUACGAUGAAGGCCUUCCGGGUUGUAAAGCACUUUUGGCAGGAAAGAAACGGCACGGGAUAAUACCCGUGCAACUGACAGUACCUGCAGAAUAAGCACCGGCUAACUACGUGCCAGCAGCCGCGGUAAUACGUAGGGUGCAAGCGUUAAUCAGAUUACUGGGCGUAAAGCGUGCGCAGGCGGUUCCGGAAGAAAGAUGUGAAAUCCCAGAGCUUAACUUUGGAACUGCAUUUUUAACUACCGAGCUAGAGUGUGUCAGAGGGAGGUGGAAUUCCGCGUGUAGCAGUGAAAUGCGUAGAUAUGCGGAGGAACACCGAUGGCGAAGGCAGCCUCCUGGGAUAACACUGACGCUCAUGCUGGCAGUAGGGGAGCAAACAGGAUUAGAUACCCUGGUAGUCCACGCCCUAAACGAUGUCAACUAGCUGUUGGGGCCUUCGGGCCCUGGUAGCGCAACUAACGCGUGAAGUUGACCGCCUGGGAAGUACGGUCGCAAGAUUAAAACUCAAGGUGACGGGGACCCGCACAAGCGGUGGAUGAUGUGUGGAUUAAUUCGAUGCAACGCGAAAAACCUUACCUACCCUUAACAUGUCUGGAAUCGAAGAGGUUGGGAGUGCUCGCAAAGAGAACCGGAACACAGGUGCUGCAUGGCUGUCGUCAGCUCGUGUCGUGAGAUGUUGGGUUAAGUCCCGCAACGAGCGCAACCCUUGUCAUUAGUUGCUACGAAAGGGCACUCUAAUGAGACUGCCGGUAAACCGGAGGAAGGUGGGGAUGACGUCAAGUCCUCGCGGCCAUAUGGGUAGGGCUUCACGUCAUACAAUGGUCGGGACAGAGGGUCGCCAACCCGCGAGGAGCCAAUCCCAGAAACCCGAUCGUAGUCCGGAUCAUGAUCUGCAACUCGACUGCGUGAAGUCGGAACCCUAGUAAUCGCGGAUCAACUUCAUCCUGGUGAAUACGUUCCCAGGUCUUAUACCUACCGCCCGUCACACCAUGGGAUGGGUUUUACCAGAAGUAGUUAGCCUAACCGUAAGAGGCGAUUACUACAUUAGGAUUCUUGACUGGGGUGAAGUCGUAACAAGGUAG